rnacentral:rRNA from 1 species
AAACCUGAGAAACCCGAAAGAUCGAAUGGGGAGAAUCAUCGUCAGCGAAUCCCGGCGAGGGCCUCGCCUCGAAUAGGGCGACCCCCGGUCGCCCGGCCAGCUGCCCGGCGGUACUUGCACGGUACUGAGCCGCACACGAAAUCGAGAUGCGUCCGGCCUGCCGCAAGCUUGGCGCCGUCACCGUGCCUGGCCGGCUGUUGGCCGGCGGUGCUCUGGGACUGGCUCGGAAUUACCGGUCGGCGACGCUACUGCUUUGGGUACUUUCACGACCCGUCUUGAAACACGGACCAAGGAGUCUAACAUGUGCGCAAGUCAUUGGGAUCUCGAGGCCCAGAGGCGCAAUGAAAGUGAAGGUCGACCCCGCGCCGACCGAGGGAGGAUGUUCCGCGUUACGAUGCAGUCUCGCACUCCCGGGGCGUCUCGCUCUCAU